GUUACAGCAAGCCAGCAGAUCUCCUCAGCAGUGGACUUGGAGCAGGUGACCUCCAGAGGUUUCUUCCAAGCUCAACCCUUCCUUGUUUCUACAUCAAAGUUUUGCAAAAGAUUCAAAACCAGCACUUGAACUGCAGAUAUUAUUAGUCACCAAAAACCAAAGUUAAUGUGCAGUUCCUUCUCUCAAAGUCUCUAUUGCUCAAGGUGAGCCAUACGGCAUUACGCGUGGGCUGAGCCUGACAAGAGCCUACAGAGGAAGGACUUUGCAAUACACAUUCCCAUAAUUAUCCCACAUACAGCCGUAGCCUUAUAUGGGUACGUUUUCAACCUGCCACCUCUACUUAUCUCAGCAAGGGAGUGAUCAAGUCACAGCUGAGAUCCGCAGACUUUACAGGUAGGCACAAAGCAGUUGCUUUUGGUUUUGUUUUGGCCAACUCUAUCUGCAGGAUCUACCCCCAUUUCCUCCACAGUCUGUGACUGGUUUCUUGUAGGGAAGGAAAGACUUUGCCCGGCUGACACCCAAUGCUCGCUGUACACCCUGUACUACUGUCCCUUCCUUGGUUAUAAGCAAGAGAUCAACACAGGUGGGAAAUACCAGGAGAAAAGAACCCAGCACCGACAAUGGCCAGUGGGAAUGAAAGGUUUGAGUCAAAGAGAUGCAACAGGACAGAACAAAUCACGCACAAACGAAGGAAUGAAGACCUCCUGACGUUCUACCUGCGUCAUCAGGAUGCACUAACAAGUCCCUGUGCAAGCCACCAAAGCAACAUUUUCACUCUGCCAUGUUCUGACGCUAUGAGGAGAGACAUCCAAGUGCUUCAGAAGUUCAUCAGGAAGUGCGAGCCCCGUGGAGUUGUUGUUACCAAAGAAGAAGUUGUUAUUGUCAGUGAAGACACUGAUGUUUGCAAACAAACGUCACCAAAGAACCUCAGCAAAGCUACAACCCUAAUGGAAGAGCACAGGGUAGAAGCAGGAAGCAGAGGCUGCCCAGAAUCCCGUAGCACAGACCUUGGAGGGCCUCCAGGAGUCAGGCCACGAUCACAGCCUCCAGCUCCGAGAGACCAAAGGGAACCAAAGGAUUUGGAUCUUCCCCC
rnacentral:lncRNA from 1 species